GAUGAACGCUGGCGGCGUGCCUAAUACAUGCAAGUCGAGCGAACGGACGAGAAGCUUGCUUCUCUGAUGUUAGCGGCGGACGGGUGAGUAGCACGUGGAUAACCUACCUAUAAGACUGGGAUAACUUCGGGAAACCGGAGCUAAUACCGGAUAAUAUUUUGAACCGCAUGGUUCAAAAGUGAAAGACGGUCUUGCCGUCACUUAUAGAUGGAUCCGCGCUGCAUUAGCUAGUUGGUAAGGUAACGGCUUACCAAGGCAACGUUGCAUAGCCGACCUGAGAGGGUGAUCGGCCACACUGGAACUGAGACACGGUCCAGACUCCUACGGGAGGCAGCAGUAGGGAAUCUUCCGCAAUGGGCGAAAGCCUGACGGAGCAACGCCGCGUGAGUGAUGAAGGUCUUCGGAUCGUAAAACUCUGUUAUUAGGGAAGAACAUAUGUGUAAGUAACUGUGCACAUCUUGACGGUACCUAAUCAGAAAGCCACGGCUAACUACGUG
rnacentral:rRNA from 1 species